AAGUGAAGAUCUUGUUUCAAACAGUUAAGAACAGUGAGACGAUUCAAAUCGAACUGCUUCAAGUCAAAUACUUAAUUCAAUUAAAUUCUUUUCCACGAAAUGCAAUUAAAAUGUUGUAUACCUCGUCGAAGUUGUUUUUUCAAGCAAAUUCUAUUUUUUGGAAUUAUAAGUCUUGUAUUCUUCGGGUAUUGGUAUCAUAAUGUAAUUCGUGUUAAACUUACAUCAUUUACAAAUAGCACUAAUUGGUUUGAAAGUACGUCGCCCAAAACUAUUCACAAUGAUUCAUUAAAAAUGAGUGCGCCCGAGUAUCCAUCAAAAACAGCAGUUAACAAAGGAGUUAAGCAUUUAGAUUAUGAAUCACAACAAAAUGCGAUUGAUAAAGUAGAACACACAGAAUUCGAAUAUAAAAUACGUGAGGUGCUGAGCUCGACACCAAACUCUUUAGAAAAUAAAGAGAAAUAUCAUUUAAAUCAAAUGGAUUCAGUAGUUGAAGAGACUCCAUUUGCUGAAGAGAAUGCAGUAAUUGAAAGUACAAUACUUGAAGAGAAUCCAAUAGUUGAAGAUAGUAUACCGAUCGACGAGUCAAAUGAAAAUUCUAAAGGAUAUUAAACGUGAAGCGUUUCAGAUAUCAACAAUUUAUUUCACGAUUGACUGAUGGCAGCAAGGUUGCAUACACAUCAAUAUAUUUAUCAUGGUAAUUGGAUUUUAUUGAACGACAAACAUGUAAAUCAAAUGGGAAAAAAUGUCAGAUUUAUCGUGAAGACGGUCCAAAAUAAUGUAUGAAAUCGCUACUGUAUUCCACCAAUCUUACAAUUUAUAAAUAAACCUUUUUCAAACAACAUGAA